GUCUACGGCCACGCCACCCUGAACAAGCCCGAUCUCGUCUGAUCUCGGAAGCUAAGCUGGGUCGGGCCUGGUUAGUACUUGGAUGGGAGACCACCUAGGAAGACCAGGUGCUGUAGGCA
rnacentral:rRNA from 1 species